CUUCGUAUCUCUCUCUCUCUUACUCGCUUCGAACCCUAGGGCCUUCACAGUAGACCCUCUCUCUCUCUCUCCACUGUAGAUUUCUUGUGGGUUUGGUGCUACGAACGUUUGUGGGAGUUCUUGGAGGUCUGAGUUGCCGAUCGGUGUCCAUGGGUUUUAGGGAUUUUUCCUACUUUUUGAAGAUUUUGGGUUGCUGCUGAGAAUCUCUCACAGCGCAUUACCUUCAAAUAGAGGUGAGGACCUGCAGACAAAGUGCUUGCUCGAGCUCUAUGGUCCAAAGGGAUGUCAUGGAAGCCAGAGACUCAGAAUAUAAGGCUUGGGCCCAUGUUCAAACUUUGAAAUCCUCUCUUGAUGAGUGCAACUUGGAAUUACGAGUCAAGACUGCAAAUGAGCUGAGGCCAUAUCCUAGCAAAGGCUUGCUGCAGCAGAAGCUGAGAUUGCUGAGCUGAGGCAGAAAUUAGAAGCUUCCAAAAGUUCAAGUGGCUUAAGUGAAUCUGCUUGUGUGUGCAGACAUCUGCAAUUGUACUAAGCUUAACAAGUUGUUGAUUGGAAUACCUUUAGACUAAGUGAUGUUCUAAAAUCCAAAAAUGAAGAAAAUUGGGCUUACUUAUAUGAAAUUGAGUCAAUUGGAUAGGCAUAUGAUGAUAUCAAAACCAAAGUUCUUUGCUGGGAGCUGCCUCUCAAAUACAAAGAUCUUUCAUUUUGCUUCCCUGGAAGCUUGGAGGUUGGGUGUAUGCUUAAUGGAUCAUAUGUUGAAUAAUCAUUGUGUGCACCCUGAGCCACAUGGAGUUAUUAAGCUAACUUUUAUACCAUUUGUCAUGAGCUGAGGAUGUGUUUAGCCAUAUUUGUGAAAUCUCUCAAAAGAAUCAGUUGCAAUGGGAGCUUUUUAUGCUAACUUCAUAUUGGGAAAAUGACUUAUAACUAUAUUUUCAGUUUUUUUAAUAUGAUAACUAAUGUAUGCAGACUGGGCAAGAAACAAACUUUGUCCUAGUUUCAUGCACAAGAUUAGGAAUAGAACCUACCAGAAGGGAGCAAGUUCUUAAA